rnacentral:rRNA from 1 species
CGUUGUUGGGUAGGGGAGCGUUCUGUAAGCCUGCGAAGGUGUGCUGUGAGGCAUGCUGGAGGUAUCAGAAGUGCGAAUGCUGACAUAAGUAACGAUAAAGCGGGUGAAAAGCCCGCUCGCCGGAAGACCAAGGGUUCCUGUCCAACGUUAAUCGGGGCAGGGUGAGUCGACCCCUAAGGCGAGGCCGAAAGGCGUAGUCGAUGGGAAACAGGUUAAUAUUCCUGUACUUGGUGUUACUGCGAAGGGGGGACGGAGAAGGCUAUGUUGGCCGGGCGACGGUUGUCCCGGUUUAAGCGUGUAGGCUGGUUUUCCAGGCAAAUCCGGAAAAUCAAGGCUGAGGCGUGAUGACGAGGCACUACGGUGCUGAAGCAACAAAUGCCCUGCUUCCAGGAAAAGCCUCUAAGCAUCAGGUAACAUCAAAUCGUACCCCAAACCGACACAGGUGGUCAGGUAGAGAAUACCAAGGCGCUUGAGAGAACUCGGGUGAAGGAACUAGGCAAAAUGGUGCCGUAACUUCGGGAGAAGGCACGCUGAUAUGUAGGUGAGGUCCCUCGCGGAUGGAGCUGAAAUCAGUCGAAGAUACCAGCUGGCUGCAACUGUUUAUUAAAAACACAGCACUGUGCAAACACGAAAGUGGACGUAUACGGUGUGACGCCUGCCCGGUGCCGGAAGGUUAAUUGAUGGGGUUAGCGCAAGCGAAGCUCUUGAUCGAAGCCCCGGUAAACGGCGGCCGUAACGAUAACGGUCCUAAGGUAGCGAAAUUCCUUGUCGGGUAAGUUCCGACCUGCACGAAUGGCGUAAUGAUGGCCAGGCUGUCUCCACCCGAGACUCAGUGAAAUUGAACUCGCUGUGAAGAUGCAGUGUACCCGCGGCAAGACGGAAAGACCCCGUGAACCUUUACUAUAGCUUGACACUGAACAUUGAGCCUUGAUGUGUAGGAUAGGUGGGAGGCUUUGAAGUGUGGACGCCAGUCUGCAUGGAGCCGACCUUGAAAUACCACCCUUUAAUGUUUGAUGUUCUAACGUUGACCCGUAAUCCGGGUUGCGGACAGUGUCUGGUGGGUAGUUUGACUGGGGCGGUCUCCUCCUAAAGAGUAACGGAGGAGCACGAAGGUUGGCUAAUCCUGGUCGGACAUCAGGAGGUUAGUGCAAUGGCAUAAGCCAGCUUGACUGCGAGCGUGACGGCGCGAGCAGGUGCGAAAGCAGGUCAUAGUGAUCCGGUGGUUCUGAAUGGAAGGGCCAUCGCUCAACGGAUAAAAGGUACUCCGGGGAUAACAGGCUGAUACCGCCCAAGAGUUCAUAUCGACGGCGGUGUUUGGCACCUCGAUGUCGGCUCAUCACAUCCUGGGGCUGAAGUAGGUCCCAAGGGUAUGGCUGUUCGCCAUUUAAAGUGGUACGCGAGCUGGGUUUAGAACGUCGUGAGACAGUUCGGUCCCUAUCUGCCGUGGGCGCUGGAGAACUGAGGGGGGCUGCUCCUAGUACGAGAGGACCGGAGUGGACGCAUCACUGGUGUUCGGGUUGUCAUGCCAAUGGCACUGCCCGGUAGCUAAAUGCGGAAGAGAUAAGUGCUGAAAGCAUCUAAGCACGAAACUUGCCCCGAGAUGAGUUCUCCCUGACCCUUUAAGGGUCCUGAAGGAACGUUGAAGACGACGACGUUGAUAGGCCGGGUGUGUAAGCGCAGCGAUGCGUUGAGCUAACCGGUACUAAUGA